rnacentral:rRNA from 1 species
UACGGGAGGCAGCAGUAGGGAAUCUUUCACAAUGGGCGAAAGCCUGAUGGAGCAACGCCGCGUGCAGGAUGACGGCCUUCGGGUUGUAAACUGCUUUUAUGCAGGGAUAAAGUGUGGGACGUGUCCCAUAUUGUAGGCCCCAUGAAUAAGGACCGGCUAAUUCCGUGCCAGCAGCCGCGGUAAU